UACGUAGGGAGCAAGCGUUGUCCGGAAUCAUUGGGCGUAAAGCGCGCGUAGGCGGCCCCGUAAGUCCGCUGUGAAAGUCAAAGGCUCAACCUUUGAAAGCCGGUGGAUACUGUGGGGCUAGAGUACGGAAGAGGCGAGUGGAAUUCCUGGUGUAGAGGUGAAAUUCGCAGAUAUCAGGAAGAACACCCGUGGCGAAGGCGGUUCUCUGGGACGGUACUGACGCUGAGACGCGAAAGCGUGGGGAGCGAACAGG
rnacentral:rRNA from 1 species